UUACUUAUAUAUAUAUAUAUAUCCAUUCAAACAAUCAUUCAUACAGGUUCUAUAUAGAUAUUAUAGUUACCAGCCUAAAGUUGCUUGUGACAGAAUACUGGCCAGGUAUCCUGUACACAAGAGUGGAGCCGAGUCCGGGUCAGGUGCACCUGAUGCUCCUGGAGGCUGGCAGCAGAACCAUAGACUCAAAGUCCUCAGUCUUUAGAGUCCAGUUUUAUAGGGAUUUUUCCCUAUGUUAGUUUAUGGGAGUUGUUUCAUUCUGCUGUUGCUUGAUCAAUCAGCAGGUGGCUGGCUCCAUUCUGUAGGUGCUUGGGGUGGAUUCCAGUUCGCCCUCCGGGGGUCAUCUGGUUGAUUCCACUUGACACCUUCUUCGGCCGACACUGAAUUUUUCAGGCUGGUAACUCCCUAACCAUUCAUUCAUCAUUUAAACUAGGCACUCAUUCACAUACACUCUUUAUCUUUUGGG